AAAUUGAAGAGUUUGAUCAUGGCUCAGAUUGAACGCUGGCGGCAGGCCUAACACAUGCAAGUCGAACGGUAACAGGAAGCAGCUUGCUGCUUUGCUGACGAGUGGCGGACGGGUGAGUAAUGUCUGGGAAACUGCCUGAUGGAGGGGGAUAACUACUGGAAACGGUGGCUAAUACCGCAUAAUGUCGCAAGACCAAAGAGGGGGACCUUCGGGCCUCUUGCCAUCAGAUGUGCCCAGAUGGGAUUAGCUUGUUGGUGAGGUAACGGCUCACCAAGGCGACGAUCCCUAGCUGGUCUGAGAGGAUGACCAGCCACACUGGAACUGAGACACGGUCCAGACUCCUACGGGAGGCAGCAGUGGGGAAUAUUGCACAAUGGGCGCAAGCCUGAUGCAGCCAUGCCGCGUGUAUGAAGAAGGCCUUCGGGUUGUAAAGUACUUUCAGCGGGGAGGAAGGUGUUGUGGUUAAUAACCGCAGCAAUUGACGUUACCCGCAGAAGAAGCACCGGCUAACUCCGUGCCAGCAGCCGCGGUAAUACGGAGGGUGCAAGCGUUAAUCGGAAUUACUGGGCGUAAAGCGCACGCAGGCGGUCUGUCAAGUCGGAUGUGAAAUCCCCGGGCUCAACCUGGGAACUGCAUUCGAAACUGGCAGGCUUGAGUCUUGUAGAGGGGGGUAGAAUUCCAGGUGUAGCGGUGAAAUGCGUAGAGAUCUGGAGGAAUACCGGUGGCGAAGGCGGCCCCCUGGACAAAGACUGACGCUCAGGUGCGAAAGCGUGGGGAGCAAACAGGAUUAGAUACCCUGGUAGUCCACGCCGUAAACGAUGUCUACUUGGAGGUUGUGCCCUUGAGGCGUGGCUUCCGGAGCUAACGCGUUAAGUAGACCGCCUGGGGAGUACGGCCGCAAGGUUAAAACUCAAAUGAAUUGACGGGGGCCCGCACAAGCGGUGGAGCAUGUGGUUUAAUUCGAUGCAACGCGAAGAACCUUACCUGGUCUUGACAUCCACAGAACUUUCCAGAGAUGGAUUGGUGCCUUCGGGAACUGUGAGACAGGUG
rnacentral:rRNA from 1 species